GUGCCAGCCGCCCGGUAAUACGGAGGGUGCGAGCGUUCUCCGGAAUCACUGGGCGUAAAGGGCGCGUAGGCGGCCAGGUAAGUCGGAUGUGAAAUCCCGGGGCUCAACUCCGGGGCGCCAUCCGAGACUGCAUGGCUCGAGCACGGUAGGGGCGAGUGGAAUUCCCGGUGUAGCGGUGGAAUGCGUAGAGAUCGGGAAGAACACCAGUGGCGAAGGGCGGCUCGCUGGGCCGUUGCUGACGCUGAGGCGCGAAAGCGUGGGGAGCAAACAGGAUUAGAUACCCUGGUAGUCCACGCCUUAAACGAUGCGCGCUAGCUGUUGGAAACCAUCGGUUUUCAGUGGCGCAGUUAACGCAAUAAGCGCGCCGCCUGAGGAGUACGGUCGCAAGAUUAAAACUCAAAUGAAUUGACGG
rnacentral:rRNA from 1 species